UCUUGUCCCUGUCUUCCCAUAAAUCUACCAAAAGGAGUCUACCUAUUGCUUUGAGGGGCCUUCUAGUUCUGUUAAUUAGUUUUUACCCAUUUGGGAGGUAAAAAGUUUUGGUACCUGAAUUAUUUAAAAAAGUAAAUGUUUAAAGUUAAUGAAAAGUUUUAUAUAUAUAUAUACUUAAGUUUGUUCUAAGACAGUUCACUGAAAGGCAUCCAAAUAGCGACAUUUGUUGGGAGAGGCCUUUUCCAGCUUCUGCUCACAGAGAAUUGUAAGAAGUCAUUAUUCUGUCACAAGGUGCCACACACAAAGUGCAAUUUUCUUUCUUCACAGGACAAAGCUUUGGAUGGAUGUGCUUCCAUGGCAAUGGGAUGAUCCACUGCAAACUCUCAAAAGGAUAUGUCCCUAUCCUGACUGGUCAAAUUCACACUUCUAGACCUUUUGGAAGGGGGGAAAAACCAAAGAAGCUGUACAGUAUCUACCCGCAAGGAGAUCCAACCCCUGCUGGAGACCUUCCUGGAAUUUUCCUGACCCUUCAUAGAUACCAGUGGAGCAUGGAGGCUGUUUAUUGGGCAUCCCUUGCAUUCGCCACACGACUAUGGCAUGAUUUUUUCCUGCCACUGUUGAUUUCUCCAAUGAUCCUCCUUGAUGACUUCUUUCACAUAAUUCCUUUUUUGUCACCCAUUUCACUUUCUCUCUUUGGGUGACCUCCAACUUCCACCCUUUUGAGACUAAUUUAACAUAGAAUGAUAUGACUUGGAGUCAUCCCUCAUCACCAGAAAGAAUACAGAUCUGCCUUAAGAAGCUGAGGGAAGGGAAGUAUCAUUCUUCAAAUUGCAAUUUCCCAAAGGUGAUCAGCCUACCUGUUCACUUCUAGGCCUGGCUCCCUAUCCCUUUUCUGUGUGACUAUACAUUAUAUCCUGGAGGCAGCAAGAGAAUUGGGGGGAGUGGACUGACCUCAGGUCUGAAGACCUGCCUUCAAAUCCUGCCUCAAACACUUAUAUAUGUGAUUCUGGGAAUUCCUUACCCUCUCUGUUUCAUAUUCCUUCUCUGUAAAAUAAGGAUAAUGAUUGAGUAUCCACUACCAAAAUUGUUGUGAGGAUCAGAUGAAAAAGGUAUAAUGUAUAUAAAGCAUUUUGCAAUCCUUGAAGAGCCAUCUAAGUGCUCUCAUUAUUAUAUAAAAUACUAGAGUUCCACAGGACUCUGGGCAUUGAACCCAGAGCUGGCAGCUCCAGUGCCCUCAGGGUAGAGAGGGAGAGACAGUCCAGAGGAGGAGAGCGCUGAACAAGUACAAGAAAUUCUCAAGAUUCUGAGCAAUGGAGCUGCCAGCCUUGCCACAAUACCCAAUUCCUUCCAAUGCCUCUUCUCUCUGGAAGUGAGAGUUCUCUUCGUCCCCCAGGAAGUAGUAGGAGCUUUUCUAGCACUAUUAACCUCUGAAGUUUCCAUCGGUACCGACCCCUUCCAGGAUACAACUGCGCCAAAUGGAACACAGCAUACCAUGAGCCAAUCAGCAAAGAAAGGUUGCAAACUUACAACACGGCAAUGGUGGUUUCAUAUCUUAUAGGAAUUCUCAACGUAAGAAAAAAAAAUUGGUAAAGAAGCCUGGAAAGGAAGAAGCUUGGUUUACUGGAUUUGGACUCAAUCAAAGAACUUUUGGUUCUCUAACUUUUGGAACUCAAAAUAAAAUAAAAUAAAAUUGAUAAUUAUAUUUCAACAGAA